UGGGGAAUAUUGCACAAUGGGGGAAACCCUGAUGCAGCGACGCCGCGUGAGCGAAGAAGGUUUUCGAAUCGUAAAGCUCUGUCCUAUGAGAAGAUAAUGACGGUAUCAUAGGAGGAAGCCCCGGCUAAAUACGUGCCAGCAGCCGCGGUAAUACGUAUGGGGCGAGCGUUGUCCGGAAUUAUUGGGCGUAAAGGGUACGUAGGCGGUCUAUUAAGUCAGGUGUGAAAGCGUGAGGCUUAACCUCAUUAAGCACUUGAAACUGAUAGACUUGAGUGAAGGAGAAGAAAGUGGAAUUCCUAGUGUAGCGGUGAAAUGCGUAGAUAUUAGGAGGAAUACCGGUGGCGAAGGCGGGUCUCUGGGCCGUUACUGACGCUGAGGAGCGAAAGCGUGGGGAGCGAACAGG
rnacentral:rRNA from 1 species